CCUACGGGUGGCAGCAGUGAGGAAUAUAGGUCAAUGGGCGGGAGCCUGAACCAGCCAAGUCGCGUGAGGGAAGACGGUCCUAUGGAUUGUAAACCUCUUUAGGCGGGGAGCAAUGCCGGGCACGCGUGCCCGGAGGGAGAGUACCCGCAGAAUAAGCAUCGGCUAACUACGUGCCAGCAGCCGCGGUAAUACGUAGGUGGCAAGCGUUGUCCGGAUUUACUGGGUGUAAAGGGCGUGCAGCCGGGAAGACAAGUCAGAUGUGAAAUCCCGCGGCUCAACCGCGGAACUGCAUUUGAAACUGUUUUUCUUGAGUACCGGAGAGGUCAUCGGAAUUCCUUGUGUAGCGGUGAAAUUCGUAGAUAUUGGGUAGAACACCGGUGGCGAAGGCGGCUAUCUGGCCAUUUACUGACGCUGAGGCUCGAAAGCAUGGGGAUCAAACAGGAUUAGAUACCCUAGUAGUC
rnacentral:rRNA from 1 species